rnacentral:rRNA from 1 species
CCUACAGGAGGCAGCAGUGAGGAAUAUUGGUCAAUGGGCGCGAGCCUGAACCAGCCAAGUAGCGUGAAGGAUGACUGCCCUACGGGUUGUACACUUCUUUUAUAAAGGAAUAAAGUGAGGCACGUGUGCCUUUUUGUAUGUACUUUAUGAAUAAGGAUCGGCUAACUCCGUGCCAGCAGCCGCGGUAAUACAGAGGAUCCGAGCGUUAUCCGGAUUUAUUGGGGUUAAAGGGAGGGUAGAAGGGUUUUUAAGUCAGUUGUGAAAAGUUGCGGCUCAAACGUAAAAUUGCAAUGGAUACUGGCAGCCUUGAGUACAGUUGAGGUAGGCGGAAUUCGUGGUGUAGCGGUGAAAUGCUUAGAUAUCACGAAGAACUCCGAUUGCGAAGGCAGCUUACUAAACUGCCACUGACAUUGAUGCUCGAAAGUGUGGGUAUCAAACAGGAUUAGAUACCCUUGUAC